UGGUGGAGUGAUUUGUCUGGUUAAUUCCGUUAACGAACGAGACCUUAACCUGCUAAAUAGUUACAUGUAAUUUCGAUUAUGUGGGCAACUUCUUAGAGGGACGUUGUGUGUAUAAUGCAAGGAAGUUUGAGGCAAUAACAGGUAUGUGAUGCCCUUAGAUGUUCUGGGCUGCACGUGCGCUACACUGAUGUGUUCAACGAGUUGUCAACCUUGCCUGGAAAGGUUUGGUAUUCUUGAACAGGCAUCGUGAUGGGGAUUGUUUAUUGCAAUUAUUAACCUUCAACGAGGAAUUCCUAGUAAGCUUGAGUCAUCAGCCUGUGCUGAUUAUGUCCCUGCCCUUUGUACACACCGCCCGUCGCUCCUACCGAUUGAGUGAUCCGGUGAAUAAUUUGGACUGUAGCAAUGUUCAGUUCUUGAACAAUGCAAUGGCAAAUUUAAUGAACCUUAUCACUUAGAGGAAGGAGAAGUCGUAACAAGGUUUCUGUAGGUGAACCUGCGGAAGGAUCAUUUGCACACGUGUAUACACUAACCUGCUAAUGAUAUUGUGGGCGGUGUAAGCUUGCAUUACAAUAAUAUUCCAUGUGUCCUGGGCUGUGUGACUUGUUUUGCAAUCAUGCGUUAUGCGUUGCAUAAACAAGUUUGGUAAACUGAGUGGUGCUGUGUUUGUGUACGAUGAUUAUGUUUUGCAAAGAAUGUUUUAGUUCAAUAAAUGAUGAAGAAUGCAGCAAAAUGCAUUAUGCAUUGUGAAUUGCAGAAUUCCGUGAGCUAACAGAUGUUUGAAUGUUACUUGUGCCUUUGGGAUAUUCUUGAAGGUUUGCUUGAUUCAAUGCCAAUUACCUUCCAUAUGCAAUACUGCUGUUUAGCAUUGCUGUGAACAAAGAGAGUCAAUGUGUAUUGCAUUGAACCUGGAUGUGUUGCAGCUGCUUUGCAACCUAAACAUGGUUGAUUGGGGGCAAACUUGUUUCGUCAUGUGCUGGUUGCUGUUUUGUAAAAUGUGAACAACUGAGACAAGCUGAAGACUUGCAUAUGCUUAGCAUGAAGUGAAGCACAUACACCUGCUGAAUUUAAGCAUAUAAGUAAGUGGUGGAAAUUAAACCAAAUGGGAUAUCUUUAGUAAUUGCGAAUGAACAAGGAUAUGCUUAGCUUGACAAAUGGAGCUAUUGGCUUUGAAUUGUAUUGUGGAAAUGUAUUACCAACAGAGGUGCAGGUGCCAGCCUAUUGAAAUAAAGCGUCAAUGAGGGUGAGAAUCCUGUUUGUCAUGUGCAGCCCUUUGUGCACGGUGUAUAUUUGCUGAGUCACACUCCUUGGCAUUGGAAUGCAAAGUGGGUGGUAAGUUUCACGUAAAGGUAAACAUGCAAUUGAGACUGAUAGCACACAAGUACCAUGAGGGAAAUAUGAAAAGGACUUUGAAAAGAGAAUUAAAUGAGUUUGUAUUUGCUGAACACAAAGUAAACAGACUUGAUUUGCUUGGUGGGAGUGUUGCACUUGCUUGACAAGAGCUUUGGGCUGUGGGUGUAAUGAUUCUUUCUUUGCAUGCCAGUUUCUAUUUGUACAUCUGAUUACCUUUGCACAUGAAUGAUAAGUCUCCUGUGGGGGGUGGAUUGCAUGUGCAUGUAAUGAUUUGUGUUUUGAUAAAUGUGUCUGGUGUAUGUGUGUGUUCCUGUGCUUGGGGAUGCUUCCUUCCUUGGACUUACAAGCCCUGACACACACAUGCUGGCAAAAUGCUUCUGCUUGACCCGUCUUGAAACACGGACCAAGGAGUCUAACAGAUGUGCAAAGUUUGAAGGUGGUAUACCUUUGUGUGCAAUGAAAGUGUCAGCUGGGAUAUGUGCACCAGCACCCAAUUAAUUAGCGGACAGAGGUUUGAGUUGGAGCAUAUCUAUUAGGACCCGAAAGAUGGUGAACUAUGCCUGAACAGAAUGAAUUCAGAGGAAACUCUGAUGGAGGUUCGUAUCGAUACUGACGUGCAAAUCGUUCG
rnacentral:rRNA from 1 species